UAGAUAACCUCGGGCCGAUCGCAC
rnacentral:piRNA from 5 species